CAACACUCACAGCGAGUUUGUCCCAAUAUAAUUUUUUUUCUUUUUAGCAGUAAUUACAGGAUUUGUCAAGACUAACGAAGAUUAUCAUAACAUCUUUUUGGCCAUAUUUGCCAACACCCUAUGUAGUAGAGAUGAAGGCCAUUGAGAUGAAAAGCUUCAAAUUUUUGUCUCGGUUAAAGAACUUUCGCAACCCAUCAUCAUUGUUUGCGUUUUCUUGGUUUACUGCUGAAUGCAAACUUUGUUUGUGUCCGAGAAGCACCUAUAAGUAAUAACUCUGUCAACCAAAAAAAAUGUGUUCAUACUAAAAAUCUAUUUCCACUGACAAUAAAUAAAAUAAUCCAAUAUACACAUUCACAAUCAACAUCUAUACAUACAAAAUAGAGAAAAAGAAAGGGACUUCAUAUAUAGCGGCACAUCACAUAAAUAUAACUGAUAACCAAAAUAUCAUUUCCAAAUCCGGCUUUUCAAUUGACAAAGUUGAAAUUCAAUAAGUUUACAAACAAUAUGAAUCAUUAAAUUUAGUUUAACUAUUAGAAAGAACCCAACAUCCAUUUCGGCUAAAGCAUGUGCACAAACUACUCAUGAGCUUUCGGAAGGGAGGUUGCCAAGGAUGCUGCAUGAUUUUGAUUGGAGGAUAUAACAAAUGCAAAUAUUGUACAUAACAGUUUCAGAAAAUAAACUUUUAAAAACUUAUAUAACUAUAUACUAAUGUCAGAUUUGUGAAAUCAACAAAAACCAAUGCUUUGAGAAAUUGCACAAACUUACAAAAGGGUAUAUGAGAAUAACAAAUGUAAUUUGUCUUCUUAUGUUAAGAACCGAAACAGGAAAAGAAAAAACAAAUAAAAUAAAUUAUAAAGAACUCUUACAAAGAAACUGGAUUUCAUCUCCUCGUAAGUCUACUUCUAAUAUUCUUCUACAUGACAUAGAUCAAUUUUCAUUCUCAAAGUGUCUUCUUAUCAGUAUACUACUUCGUCUCUACUGAAUUGCUAAGGCCAAUAAAGAUUGAUGAUUAAUCGCUUUACUCG
rnacentral:lncRNA from 1 species